AUCUAAGUCCAGUAGCCCUUGAAGCACUGGGCAACAGGCGUCCUUAGCACUACCACCAAUCCCAAUAUGCACUAAACCACCUAACACAUCAACACAUGCUCCUAGCUUUAGAGCAUCAAUAGGGCAAGUCUCUUGCUUUGGGGGUGGAGGUGGGCAUGGCACUGGAGGUGGCGGAGGAGGGCAUGGUGUUUCAGUUGGCGGUGGCUUCACAACAGGAGGCUUUGGUGGUAGAGUUGGCGGUGCUGGUGUUACCGGCGGCGUAGGAUAAUACGGUGGUGUAGGGGUAACAGGAGGCUUUGGUGGUAGAGUCGGAGGCUUGAUCACCGGUGGUUUUGGUGUCGGUGUUACCGGAGGGGUAGGAUAAGGCGGCGGAGUUGGGGUAACAGGAGGCUUUGGUGGUAAAGUUGGUGGGGAAAUGAUUGGUGGUUUGGGUACAUAAGGUGGUGGCUUUACAGUAGGAGGCUUUGGUGGUAAAGUUGGUGGGGAAAUGAUUGGUGGUUUGGGUACAUAAGGUGGUGGCUUUACAGUAGGAGGUUUUGGUAUAUGGGGUGGAUAUACAAUUGGAGGCUUGACAACCGGUGGUUUGGGUACGGUUGGUGGUUUGACAACGGGUGGUUUGGGUACAUAAGGUGGCGGCUUUACAGUAGGAGGUUUUGGUACAUGGGGUGGAUAUACAAUUGGAGGCUUGACAACCGGUGGUUUUGGUACGGUUGGUGGUUUGACAACGGGUGGUUUGGGAACCACCGGAGGUUUGGGUGGCUUAGGUGGGUAGUGUUUGGGAGGUUUAUGGUGAGAGGGUGGCUUUACCUUAGGAGGGUGUUUGGGUGGGAACUUAGGAGGAUGCUUCGGUGAAGGUGGAGUUGGGUAAGGACAGUAAGGGCAAGCAAGAGAAGGGAUCAAAGAGCCUAAGUUGAGAAGGAGAAACAAGAGAUUUACAAGAACAAGCUUGGCCAUUGUAGCU
rnacentral:lncRNA from 1 species